UCCGCCGGCAUCCACCCAUCAUGGUGGAAGCU
rnacentral:sRNA from 1 species